rnacentral:tRNA from 1 species
GCGACAUUAGCUCCGUGAUUAGAGCUAUACCCUGCCAAGGUAUACGUCAGCGGUUCGAACCCGAUAUGUCGCACCA